GCUACUGUGUGGCCAAUCAAAGCUCUCCUCGUUUGGUCUCCUUUCACUGCAAAACCACUUCCGUUUUCGGGAAGACAAGGACCUGGAUGGAGACCGGAGAAUCUACUGUUGCACCAUGAUUAGGUCAGUCUUCGAGUGAGCCUGUGUCACUAUGAACCCAACGGUUGUCCCUCAGCCCCUCCCUCUCUUAGGUCAGGCAAGAUGGCGGGAGCGAGCUGGAGUUAUGCACUUCCCUUCCCCCACACAGAAGGUCUGAAUGGGCUAGUGUUAAUCACUUCCCUUCAUCUAGGUUACUUAGGCUCUGAAAGACCUCCAGUAGAUCAGGCUCUGUGAAACGCCUCUGAUGGAGGCAGGCCUGAUGAAGGGCGACAGAAUGCCCUGGUGUAUCAGAAGGGUCACUUCCAUUUCUCUAUGAGGAGCAUGGAUGGAGUUUCUUCUACUACUCACUGUGAGAAUCUGGUGGAGAAAUAAUGCUAAAAAUUUGAAGAUACUAUGGCUAGAAAUAUUGCCAAACUGAAAAAGAAACCCCCAAACCACAAGUCCAGAAGAUCAUUGGACAGAAUACAAGAUAAACACAGAAAACCACAUCAAGGCAUAGCAUAAUAACAUUAUAAAGGACAAGAGAUAAAGCUAUUACCUUAAAAGCAGCCAGAGAAAACAUACAUAUUAAAAAGAUAAUAAUGAUGGAGUUCUCAUUUAAGCCACACAAGUCAUAGGGCAAGGAAAGCUGAAAGGACUCAUUCAUCUAAAAUGGCAUAUGUGGUGCAAAUAACCUUUCAAAUGGAAACUGAAAAACAGAUUCUCAAAACCAACUCUGAGAACCCAUCACUUGUAGUGUAUGAUCCACAAGGUUGAAGGGCUGGGGAGAUGGUUCGGUGGAUAAGAACACAUGCUCUGCAAACAUGAGGACUGGGGUUUGAACCUCCAGCACCCAUGUCAUAAACUAGGCACGGUGCUUAGAGACAGGAGGAUACCCAAAGGUUGCUGACAAGCCAGCCUAUCCAAAACGGUGAGCUUUGGGAUUGGUGAGACACCCUUUCUCAAAAGCAAUAAGGCGGAGCAUGACAAAGGAGGACAUAUGUACACAUGGGUGCAUAUAUCUGCACACUCAUGUAUACCCCUCUACACCCCCCCACAAAAUCCCUCAUUCUUAGAACAUACAAAGACAUCAAACAGAAACAUGCAUGAACCAAAAGGAACAACUUGCACUGGCCAUAGAAAGUACAUAUGCGAAUAACAAAAUACUCUUAUUUUAAAAUUCCCCCAAACACAGACUGAAUGUUAGCUGCAAUAAAAAAAAAAAAAGCAGCACAUUGCAAGAUUUAUAACAUUUGUAGAAACAGAAGAAAGAAUGGAGAAGUGGGAGCAUGCAGGUAUUAAGGAGCCCCUCCCUCACACACUUGGCCUGAUGAAUGCUGGCUAUGUCUAAGAUGCUUACUGAAGAGCCUACAAUAAGAAGCUGUAGGGGGCAAGAAUUAAACAUUCUAAUCCAUUCAGUGAUGGAGCAAUCCUAAACAAGCAGAUAUCUAAAUUCAAGAGCUUCAAAAUCCACGAAGCAAAGACGGACAGAAUUGAGAAAGAACAGGGCUCAGGGAACCUGAAGCAACAGCAAGCUGGCUUAAGCUUAAGGAGAGACAGGAGACAGAUGGGCCUGGUCCAGUCAGCUCAUCCCUGUGCAGUACGGAAGAGAACACGGAAGAGAACCCGGAAGACAGCACCCUGGAAGAGUGACUUUCAGGAAGCAUGACCAGUUGUACCUUUAAAGGAACUAGUUGCUGCCACUGUAAGUGGAAGAAAGGGACAGGAGAAAGGUACUACAAUGACACCAGACCAUUCUGAUUAGUUUCCCUACUUUGUGUUACGUCAUAACGUGCUCUGCACACAAAGACAUUACUCCAAAAUCUACUUUAGAAGUUUACUAACUCAUCAUACAUAUUUAGAAGAAAACUAAAUGUCCCCACAAAUUUCGAAGGACAUCAAUUUCACUGUAGCCACAUUAAUGAGUAAUGAAUCAGAAUGGUUUUAAACACGCUCUAUUAAUCAAAUAGCUCACUUUGCAAAGCAUGUUUCCCCCCAAACCUAAAGUUGCCUUCUUACUUCUAUAAGCCAGCUAAUCCAAGGGCCAGUCCAUCAGACUUGAUGUCACAUGCUUCCACCGGUGUCAUGGCUUUGAAGGUCACCCCACCCAUUCCUACUUGGCCCAUUUUGUUCUGACUGUCUGCCUGACUACUAGAACCUUCAAUCUAAAUCAUCUCCAGGUAACCUCAGAAUUAAAGAUCUCCGGUUCUGUGAA